rnacentral:rRNA from 1 species
GGACUACCAGGGUAUCUAAUCCUGUUUGAUCCCCACGCUUUCGUGUAUGAGUGUCAGUAUUGGACCAGGUCGCCGCCUUCGCCACCGGUGUUCCUCCAGAUAUCUACGUAUUUCACCACUACACCUGGAAUUCCACGACCCUCUUCCAUACUCAAGUCUGACAGUUUUAAAUGCACGUCUUGGGUUGAGCCCAAGGAUUUCACAUCUAACUUUUCAGACAACCUGCACACGCUUUACGCCCAAUAAUUCCGAACAACGCUAGGACCCCCCGUCUUACCGCGGCUGCUGGCAC